AUUGAACGCUGGCGGCAGGCCUAACACAUGCAAGUCGAACGAGUGGCGGACGGGUGAGUAAUGUCUGGGAAACUGCCUGAUGGAGGGGGAUAACUACUGGAAACGGUAGCUAAUACCGCAUACCAUCAGAUGUGCCCAGAUGGGAUUAGCUUGUUGGUGGGGUAACGGCUCACCAAGGCGACGAUCCCUAGCUGGUCUGAGAGGAUGACCCGCCACACUGGAACUUAGAAACGGUCCAGACUCCUACGGGAGUCAGCAGUGGGGAAUAUUGCACAAUGGGCGCAAGCCUGAUGCAGCCAUGCCGCGUGUAUUAAGAAGGCCUUCGGGUUGUAAAGUACUUUCAGCGGGGAGGCGUUACCCGCAGAAGAAUCACCGGCUAACUCCGUGCCAGCAGCCGCGGUAAUUC
rnacentral:rRNA from 1 species